CAAAGAAAACGAUGACGCGAGUUAUCGUCUCUAACGUUCGAGGACUACAAAAAACACUCGGAUUGUAGGCAACAGUUUACUUCCUGGGAUUAGUGACGUAGAUAAGACCAACAUUAUCAUAGUUCAGCCCUCUCUGCUUUGCUUGGGUACGCCCUCAAAGACGAGGGUGGGGUGGGGAGCGCCGAGUCAGAAGAGAGCUAAAAUGGCGGAGGUUGUGAGUCCCUGCUUUUACUCUGUUUGCAAACUCUUGUUUCAUUGUUUAAGCGACUAAAUCUCGAGUAGACGCUGUCUCUUUAGAUGCGAGGGCAAAAUAGCACUUUAUGGACUUCCACAGAGGACAUCAUGUUUAAUACGGUUCCGGAAAAAUCCAGUCAGAAGUUGUUCACGGAGUUUUCACAAUAACUGCUUCUCAUGAACCGAAGCUGGAUUUGCGCGACGUCUCCUCUUGAAAGUUGAUUACUGUGCACUUCUGGAUCACAGACUAUUCGCAGCUGGACACAUCCUUCUACACUGUAUGCAAACAUGCAACAUCAUUACACACAGUACAAGGAGUCAGACUGGCAUAUGAGGAGCAAAGGAACCCAGGCAGUAGCAUCAUUUCACAAUGUUUCCAUCAUCAUCAUCAGUGGAUGCCUUUGCCGUCCGUAGCCUGAGAUUUCAGAUUUGCAGCAAAAAAAAAAUGAUUUUCUCAUUUAUUGGAAUGCUGUGCAGGUAUUUGUACCUUGCAGCCAUCCAUUACAAUGUCACCAAGCCGUAACAAAAGCAGGAGAGGGAAAGUACAAGGCUAUGUUCCCAAAACACACAAGUGACAUACCUUAUGUGGAGGAUGUGAUCAGGCUUGUGUUUGAUGAGGUAUUUGAAGAUAAGCUGAAGGAAACCCCGAUUCCAAUGGACCUGGCAUCACAGUUUGAGAGACCUUCAAAGGAGGACGUGAUUGCAUGCCAUCUUCAGUGCAGGGGUCGUCGAAAGCCAAAAUUGUGACCGAUCUGAUCAGGAAGCUCCAAGCGUAUCUGGAGAACAACACACGACAGGAUGAUAACCUUAUAGUGUCGUCUUAGAUAGCACCAGCUGACAAAGCUUUGAUAUGCCAUUUAUCUGAAUAGAUAGCUGUAAGAAAUGAAUUGAACAAUUUUUGAAACAAGAGCACAAUAUGGGUACUAAAGUAUGUUUAUUUG